AACCUUCUCUGUUCACUUAGCGUUCAUAAAAUUACAUAUUUUGGAAAUUAUUUCUUAGUAAAUACCAUAACAAGUUGCAAGUGGUUUAUGGGAAUUUUAAGGUUAAAAUGGUAUAAAGUUUUACAUUUCAUGUUCAGAGCUGAUAUGUGGGUGACUGCUGGAACAGGACUCUGGUUCUGCUCUGCUGGUGUUUGGAAAAGGGGCCAUGAUUAAGAGGGACAGCUGGGGACAUUCAUAUUGUGCUGCUAGAGGUGGAAUUCUUGGACUGGCGCAAGACAGCUUAGAGUGAAAGAGUCGCCAAGAACGUUUUAAUUAAUCAAGAAUGAAAGUCAGAUGUUCAAAGAUGUUGAGAAAUGUUUUAGUUCUGACCAUUAACGAUGCUGAAAUGGCAAAUCAUUUCCGGGGGAGUCUCCGUGGCACACUGGUUAGUGCU
rnacentral:ncRNA from 1 species